GGUAGUGUGGCUGAGAACAAGGCGGCGAGCUGUAGACUCGCGCAGGGGGAAAAAAGGGGGCCCUCACUAUCA
rnacentral:tRNA from 1 species